rnacentral:rRNA from 1 species
UACGUAGGGGGCAAGCGUUGUCCGGAAUCAUUGGGCGUAAAGCGCGCGCAGGCGGCCCGGUAAGUCCGCUGUAAAAGUCCAGGGCUCAACCCUGGAAAGCCGGUGGAUACUGUCGGGCUAGAGUCCGGAAGAGGCGAGUGGAAUUCCUGGUGUAGCGGUGGAAUGCGCAGAUAUCAGGAGGAACACCGAUGGCGAAGGCAGCUCGCUGGGACGGUACUGACGCUGAGGCGCGAAAGCGUGGGGAGCGAACAGG